UACGUAGGGGGCUAGCGUUGUCCGGAAUCAUUGGGCGUAAAGCGCGUGUAGGCGGUCCGGUAAGUCCGCUGUGAAAGUCCAGGGCUCAACCCUGGGAUGCCGGUGGAUACUGCUGGGCUAGAGUACGGAAGAGGCGAGUGGAAUUCCCGGUGUAGCGGUGAAAUGCGCAGAUAUCGGGAGGAACACCUAUUGCGAAGGCAGCUCGCUGGGACGUUACUGACGCUGAGACGCGAAAGCGUGGGGAGCAAACAGG
rnacentral:rRNA from 1 species